rnacentral:rRNA from 1 species
AGUGAAUAGAUACCCAGGUAGUCCUAGCCGUAAACGAUACUCGCUAGGUGUCGGCCACGGUGCGACCGUUGUCGGUGCCGUAGGGAAAGCCGUGAAGCGAGCCACCUGGGAAGUACGGCCGCAAGGCUGAAACUUAAAGGAAUUGGCGGGGGAGCACCACAACGGGUGGAGCUUGCGGUUUAAAUUGGAUUCAACGCCGGAAAUCUUACCGGGACCGACAGCAAUAUGAAGGCCAGGCUGAAGACUUUGCCGGAUUAGCUGAGAGGUGGUGCAUGGCCGUCGUCAGUUCGUACUGUGAAGCAUCCUGUUAAGUCAGGCAACGAGCGAGACCCACGCCCACAGUUGCCAGCGUACUCUCUGG